rnacentral:misc_RNA from 1 species
UAAUAAAGUGUUUUAUGGCACUUUUUAAAAAUCCAUAUCCACCUUGUGUGCAAUGUUAAGUCUCUCGUUCAAGACAGUUUCGACUGUUCUUGGGCAGGGUCUUUAUAUAUCAACUCUUUCUUAAACCAAUUUGUCUGAAAAAUAUUAUGAAUACUUAAUUCAAAAUA